CAGCCGCCGCGGUAAUACCAGCUCUCCUAGUGGUAGGGACAAUUAUUGGGCUUAAAGCGUCCGUAGCCAGCCCCUCAAGUCUCUGUUAAAUCCAACGAUUCAAUCGCUGGACUGCUGGAGAUACUGUAGGGGUAGGGGGCGGGAGAAGCCGACGGUAUUCUUGGGGUAGGGGUAAAAUCCUAUAAUCCCGGGAAGACCACCAGUGGCGUAGGCGGUCGGGUAGCACGCGCCUGACGGUGAGGGACGAAAGCUGGGGGAGCGAACCGGAUUAGAUACCCGGGUAGUCCCAGCAGUAAACGAUGCGGGCUAGGUGUUGGAGCGGCUACGAGUUGCUUCAGUGCCGCAGGGAAGCCAUUAAGCCCGCCGCCUGGGGAGUACGGCCGCAAGGCUGAAACUUAAAGGAAUUGGCGGGGGAGCAC
rnacentral:rRNA from 1 species